CAGUCGCCGCGGUAAUACGUAGGUGGCAAGCGUUGUCCGGAAUUAUUGGGCGUAAAGGGCUCGCAGGCGGUUUCUUAAGUCUGAUGUGAAAGCCCCCGGCUCAACCGGGGAGGGUCAUUGGAAACUGGGAAACUUGAGUGCAGAAGAGGAGAGUGGAAUUCCACGUGUAGCGGUGAAAUGCGUAGAGAUGUGGAGGAACACCAGUGGCGAAAGCGACUCUCUGGUCUGUAACUGACGCUGAGGAGCGAAAGCGUGGGGAGCGAACAGGAUUAGAUACCCGUGUAGUCCCUGUCUCUUAUAC
rnacentral:rRNA from 1 species